rnacentral:rRNA from 1 species
CCUACGGGUGGCAGCAGUGAGGAAUAUUGGUCAAUGGACGAGAGUCUGAACCAGCCAAGUAGCGUGAAGGAUGACUGCCCUAUGGGUUGUAAACUUCUUUUAUAUGGGAAUAAAAUGUUCCACGUGUGGGAUUUUGUAUGUACCAUAUGAAUAAGGAUCGGCUAACUCCGUGCCAGCAGCCGCGGUAAUACGGAGGAUGCGAGCGUUAUCCGGAUUUAUUGGGUUUAAAGGGUUAGCAGGCGGGCUGUUAAGCCGGCGGUAAAAAUUCAGGGCUCAACCCUGUCGAGCCGUCGGAACUGGCAGUCUUGAGUGGGCGAGAAGUAUGCGGAAUGCGUGGUGUAGCGGUGAAAGGCAUAGAUAUCACGCAGAACGCCGAUUGCGAAGGCAGCAUACCGGCGCCCAACUGACGCUGAGGCACGAAAGCGUGGGGAUCGAACAGGAUUAGAUACCCGGGUAGUC